AACGUAGGUUCCGAGCGUUAUCCGGAUUUACUGGGCGUAAAGCGCGUUCAGGCGGUUUGGCAAGUCGGGCAUGAAAUCUCUCGGCUCAACCGGGAGAGGUUGUCCGAUACUGCUGGACUUGAGGGCAGUAGAGGGUGGUGGAAUUCCAGGUGUAGUGGUGAAAUGCGUAGAUAUCCGGAGGAACACCAGUGGCGAAAGCGGCCACCUGGACUGCACCUGACGCUGACACGCGAAAGCUAGGGGAGCGAACGGG
rnacentral:rRNA from 1 species